UCCGGUUUGGCACCGGCAGUCCUCCCAGAGUCCCCGACUUGACUCGCUGGCAACUGGGAGCGGGGGUUGCGCUCGUUGCGGGACUUAACCCAACAUCUCACGGCACGAGCUGAAGACAGCCAUGCAGCACCUGUGCUAGCCCCAAAAGGACACGGGCUUUCACCCGCUUUAACUAGCAUGUCAAGCCCAGGUAAGGUUCUUCGCGUUGCAUCGAAUUAAGCCACAUGCUCCGCCGCUUGUGCGGGUCCCCGUCAAUUCCUUUGAGUUUUAGCCUUGCGGCCGUACUCCCCAGGCGGGGUGCCUAAUGCGUUAGCUUCGGCACGGAACGGGUUGAAGACCGCCCCACACCUAGCACCCAACGUUUACGGCUGGGACUAC
rnacentral:misc_RNA from 1 species